rnacentral:rRNA from 1 species
UGGGGAGUACGGCCGCAAGGCUAAAACUCAAAGGAAUAGACGGGGGCCCGCACAAGCGGUGGAGCAUGUGGUUUAAUACGACGCAACGCGUAGAACCUUACCAGGGCUUGACAUGCUGGUGGUACUCUCUCCGAAAGGAGAGUGGACCCUUCGGGGAGCCAGCACAGAUGUUGCACGGCUGUCGUCAGCUCGUGUCGUGAGAUGUUGGGUUAAGUCCCGCAACGAGCGCAACCCUUAUCCUUAGUUGCCAGCGGAUAAUGCCGGGGACUCUAAGGAGACUGCCUGUGAUAAGCAGGAGGAAGGUGAGGAUGACGUCAAGUCAUUGUGGCUCUUACGCCCUGGGCUACACACGUGCUACAAUGGUCGGUACAAUGAGUUGCAAUACCGCGAGGUGGAGCCAAUCUCCUAAAGCCGGCCUCAGUUCGGAUUGGAGUCUGCAAUUCGACUCCAUGAAGUCGGAAUCGCUAGUAAUGGCGCAUCAGCUACGGCGCCGUGAAUACGUUCCCGGGCCUUGUACUCACCGCCCGUCACAUCACCCGAGUUGACUGCACCUGAAGUCACUGGUCCAACCUUUUGGGGGAAGGUGCCGAAGGUGUGGUUGGUAAGGGGGAUGAAGUCGUAACAAGGUAA